rnacentral:rRNA from 1 species
GGGACUCAUAGGAGACUGCCGGUGAUAAACCGGAGGAAGGUGGGGACGACGUCAAGUCAUCAUGGCCCUUAUGGCCAGGGCUGCACGCAUGCUACAAUGGCAAGUACAACGAGUCCCAAUACCGCGAGGUGGAGCAAAUCUCUUAAAGCUUGUCUCAGUUCGGAUAGGAGUCUGCAACUCGACUCCUUGAAGUUGGAGUCCCUAGUAAUCCCAAAUCAACAAAGUUGCGGUGAAUACUUUCUCGGGGUUUGUACACACCGCCCGU